rnacentral:rRNA from 1 species
GAGUUUGAUCCUGGCUCAGAUUGAACGCUGGCGGCAGGCCUAACACAUGCAAGUCGAGCGGUAGAGAGAAGCUUGCUUCUCUUGAGGGCGGCGGACGGGUGAGUAAUACCUGGGAAUCUGCCUGAUAGUGGGGGAUAACGUUCGGAAACGGACGCUAAUACCGCAUACGUCCUACGGGAGAAAGCAGGGGAUCUUCGGACCUUGCGCUAUCAGAUGAGCCCAGGUCGGAUUAGCUUGUUGGUGAGGUAACGGCUCACCAAGGCUGCGAUCCGUAACUGGUCUGAGAGGAUGAUCAGUCACACUGGAACUGAGACACGGUCCAGACUCCUACGGGAGGCAGCAGUGGGGAAUAUUGGACAAUGGGGGGAACCCUGAUCCAGCCAUGCCGCGUGUGUGAAGAAGGUCUUCGGAUUGUAAAGCACUUUAAGUUGGGAGGAAGGGCUGAUGCUUAAUACGUAUCAGUCUUGACGUUACCGACAGAAUAAGCACCGGCUAACUCUGUGCCAGCAGCCGCGGUAAUACAGAGGGUGCAAGCGUUAAUCGGAAUUACUGGGCGUAAAGCGCGCGUAGGUGGCUAAGUAAGAUGGGUGUGAAAUCCCCGGGCUCAACCUGGGAACUGCAUCCAUAACUGCUGAGCUAGAGUACGGUAGAGGGGUAGUGGGAUUUCCUGUGUAGCGGUGAAAUGCGUAGAUAUAGGAAGGAACACCAGUGGCGAAGGCGACUACCUGGACUGAUACUGACACUGAAGUGCGAAAGCGUGGGGAGCAAACGGAUUAGAUACCCUGGUAGUCACGCCGUAAGGACUGAUACUGACACUGAGGUGCGAAAGCGUGGGAGCAAACAGGAUUAGAUACCCUGGUAGUCCACGCCGUAAACGAUGUCAACUAGCCGUUGGGAACCUUGAGUUCUUAGUGGCGCAGCUAACGCACUAAGUUGACCGCCUGGGGAGUACGGUCGCAAGAUUAAAACUCGAAUGAAUUGACGGGGGCCCGCACAAGCGGUGGAGCAUGUGGUUUAAUUCGAAGCAACGCGAAGAACCUUACCUGGCCUUGACAUGCUGAGAACUUUCCAGAGAUGGAUUGGUGCCUUCGGGAACUCAGACACAGGUGCUGCAUGGCUGCCGUCAGCUCGUGUCGUGAGAUGUUGGGUUAAGUCCCGUAACGAGCGCAACCCUUGUCCUUAGUUACCAGCACGUUAUGGUGGGCACUCUAAGGAGACUGCCGGUGACAAACCGGAGGAAGGUGGGGAUGACGUCAAGUCAUCAUGGCCCUUACGGCCAGGGCUACACACGUGCUACAAUGGUCGGUACAAAGGGUUGCCAAGCCGCGAGGUGGAGCUAAUCCCAUAAAACCGAUCGUAGUCCGGAUUGGAGUCUGCAACUCGACUCCAUGAAGUCGGAAUCGCUAGUAAUCGUGGAUCAGAACGCCACGGUGAAUACGUUCCCGGGCCUUGUACACACCGCCCGUCACACCAUGGGAGUGGGUUGCACCAGAAGUAGCUAGUCUAACCUUCGGGAGGACGGUUACCACGGUGUGAUUCAUGACUGGGGUGAAGUCGUAACAAGGUAGCCGUAGGGGAACCUGCGGCUGGAUCACCUCCUUUCU